rnacentral:misc_RNA from 1 species
UUUCAAAAUGACUUAUAUUUUUAAACUAAGGGAAUUGAAUUCUAGCAACUUUAAACUUUCCAAACAUAAGAAAUGGUCAAACAAAAUUCAAUUAAAUUGAAUUGAAUUCUUUCACUUUCAUGCUUUGCUAUGGCAGGCCAAUCAUCAUUUCUUGUUUCUUAAUGAAUGUUAAUGAAACAUACCUCUUCAUGAAUCAUCUGUA